rnacentral:rRNA from 1 species
GGACUACAGGGGUUUCUAAUCCUGUUCGCUCCCCUAGCUUUCGCGCCUCAGCGUCAGAUGCCAGCCAGGACACUGCCUUCGCCUUUGGUAUUCCUCCGGAUAUCUACGCAUUUCACCACUCCACCCGGAAUUCUAUGUCCCUCUCUGGCCCUCAAGUCACGCAGUUUUCAGAGGCCUUAUCCAGUUGAGCCGGAUACUGUCACUCCAAACUUACGUCACCGCCUGCACGCCCUUUACGCCCAGUAACUCCGGACAACGCUCGCCCCCUACGUAUUACCGCGGCUGCUGGCAC